UUAUUAACCUAGAAUUUAUAAUAUUCAUUUGCUUCAUUUCUAUAUUAUAUGUUAAGAUCUUUUCAAGUAUAUAGAAAAAUUGUUUAUAAAAAUAUUUUAUUGCUGAGAGGAAAUUAAUAAACACAGAAAAAUAAUUUUUUGUAAAAAAAAGAAUAAUUAAAGUGGCAUAUAUUGAAGCACAAAUUUUUGAAGAUUACAUAUUCUCUCUCGCUAGUGGAAUCAUCAUAAUUGUAAUCUGCAGGUUAUUCUACGGUCUAAAAACGCGGAAAAACACGAGUUUUAAUCAUAUUAAGUCGAGUAGCUGUACUAUUAACACGCACCUUGUCAACUCUCUCAUGAAGAAAGCUGAGUUUUAAUGGAAUUAUAUGUGCUAACAAGACUAACAAGGUUUACAAGAACGGUUUACACUUUUCAAGCAAACAUGACUGGUCAAUAGAAAACUAAUUCUACUUACGGCUACUCUUCAAGAGAUUUCAAAUCUAAAAGUAAUGAGUUUCGAGAUUAUGUAUAUAUACAUAUAUAAUAUAAUGAAUUAAAAGCAGAAACUUUAGAAAAGUAAUAAUUCAACAAAAGUUGCCGUCCGUUCAAGAUUUGUGAUCACAAAAUACGA